rfam:Penicillium marneffei ATCC 18224 scf_1105668340738 genomic scaffold, whole genome shotgun sequence.
UUUGGUGAUGACUACGUGACACGCUAAGGCAUUCCUCAAACUUAAUGAAUACAUGUGGAAUCUGUCUAUUAUCAAGUUUCAGCCUUGUCUGAUC